rnacentral:rRNA from 1 species
CGGACUCACGCCGGAAAUCUCACCGGAUAAGACAGCUGAAUGAUAGUCGGGAUGAAGACUCUACUUGACUAGCUGAGAGGAGGUGCAUGGCCGUCGUCAGUUCGUACUGUGAAGCAUCCUGUUUAGUCAGGCAACGAGCGAGACCCACGCGAGCAGUUGCCAGCAUGACCUUCGGGUUGAUGGGGACACUGCUCGGACCGCCUCUGCUAAAGGGGAGGAAGGACUGGGCAACGGUAGGUCAGCAUGCCCCGAAUUAUCCGGGCUACACGCGGGCUACAAUGGUCAGGACAAUGGGUUCCGACACCGAAAGGUGAAGGCAAUCUCCUAAACCUGUCCGAAGUUCGGAUUGCGGGUUGUAACUCACCCGCAUGAAGCUGGAAUCCGUAGUAAUCGCGUUUCAUCAUAACGCGGUGAAUAUGUCCCUGCUCCUUGCACACACCGCCCG